CGGGGGGCAGCAGUGGGGAAUUUUGGACAAUGGGGGCAACCCUGAUCCAGCAAUGCCGCGUGUGUGAAGAAGGCCUUCGGGUUGUAAAGCACUUUUGUCAGGAACGAAACGGUGGGGGCUAAUAUCCUCUGCUAAUGACGGUACCUGAAGAAUAAGCACCGGCUAACUACGUGCCAGCAGCCGCGGUAAUACGUAGGGUGCAAGCGUUAAUCGGAAUUACUGGGCGUAAAGCGUGCGCAGGCGGUUGUGCAAGACAGAUGUGAAAUCCCCGGGCUUAACCUGGGAAUUGCAUUUGUGACUGCACGGCUAGAGUGUGUCAGAGGGGGGUAGAAUUCCACGUGUAGCAGUGAAAUGCGUAGAUAUGUGGAGGAAUACCGAUGGCGAAGGCAGCCCCCUGGGAUAACACUGACGCUCAUGCACGAAAGCGUGGGGAGCAAACAGGAUUAGAUACCCCAGU
rnacentral:rRNA from 1 species